rnacentral:lncRNA from 1 species
CAGCGAGCCAGUUAUGGAGGCUAAGCAGUCAAGCGUAGUCAUGUUUCAAGCCUUCCAUAUCAGACAGCGAACCUCGACCCUGGACAUGGAGGUGACAGAGUCAGAAGCCUGACCCCUCACUGUCACCACCACCACCACCACCUCUCAGCCUUCCCGUGUGUUCCACGUCUUCCCGAUUCUGAUGAUAAAACUGAGUAACCAGCUUGCACAUCUGAUGGACGGCAGAGCUGGGCUGGUCCCCGUGUCUUCAGUCUCUUCUAGUUCUUCCUGGACAUCUUGGGAUAAGGAGGAUGUUGGUCAAGAGAGGAUGUAGAUUUGUUGGAAUCAUCAGAGGAGACUGAGAAUCUCCAAGUACCGAAGUGGAGGACGACGGUGCGAGCCAGAGAGCUUAGACGACAGACAGACGUGUGGUUCCCCUGGUCUGGGAGCUGCACAGCACCAGGCUGUCUGGAGGCCGUGACAGGGGAGGAAGGGACCCUGGUGGCCCAAGAGUGGAAGCGCCCGCCAUGCUGCAGAAGACUUCUCCUUUCUGGCCUGUUGUGCAGUGUCUUCAUUCUCAAUAAAUACACAAUUUGACCUUACACGUGA